rnacentral:rRNA from 1 species
UACGGAGGGUGCAAGCGUUAUUCGGAAUUACUGGGCGUAAAGCGCACGUAGGCCGCUUUGUAAGUCAGGGGUGAAAUCCCACGGCUCAACCGUGGAACUGCCCUUGAAACUGCGAAGCUUGAAUCCUGGAGAGGGUGGCGGAAUUCCUGGUGUAGGAGUGAAAUCCGUAGAUAUCAGGAGGAACACCGGUGGCGAAGGCGGCCACCUGGACAGGUAUUGACGCUGAGGUGCGAAAGUGUGGGGAGCAAACUGG